rfam:Pelagibacterium sp. SCN 63-23 ABS75_C0052, whole genome shotgun sequence.
GGAGAGGUGGCCGAGUGGUCGAAGGCACACCCCUGCUAAGGGUGCAGAUCGGGAACGGUCUCGAGGGUUCGAAUCCCUUCCUCUCCG